GACAGAGGCCUCGAGCGUUAGGCGGAAUCACUGGGCUUAAAGCGUGUGUAGGCGGAUCGUUAAGUACCUUGUGAAAUCCCACGGCUCAACCGUGGAACGGCUGGGUAUACUGGCGGUCUUGAGCCACCUAGGGGCGAGCGGAACAAACGGUGGAGCGGUGAAAUGCGUAGAUAUCGUUUGGAACGCCAAUGGUGAAGACAGCUCGCUGGGGGUGCGCUGACGCUGAGACACGAAAGCCAGGGGAGCGAACGGG
rnacentral:rRNA from 1 species